UACGGGGGGUGCAACCGUUGCUCGGAAUUAUUGGGCGUAAAGCGCACGUAGGCGGUCCUGUAAGUCGGGUGUGAAAGCCCCAGGCUUAACCUGGGAAGUGCACUCGAAACUGUAGGGCUUGAGUAUGGAAGAGGGUCUCGGAAUUCCCGGUGUAGAGGUGAAAUUCGUAGAUAUCGGGAGGAACACCAGUGGCGAAGGCGGAGACCUGGGCCAAUACUGACGCUGAGGUGCGAAAGCGUGGGGAGCAAACAGG
rnacentral:rRNA from 1 species